GACGAACGCUGGCGGCGUGCUUAACACAUGCAAGUCGAACGGUAAGGCCCUUCGGGGGUACACGAGUGGCGAACGGGUGAGUAACACGUGGGUGAUCUGCCCUGCACUUCGGGAUAAGCCUGGGAAACUGGGUCUAAUACCGGAUAGGACCACUGCCUGCAUGGGUGGUGGUGGAAAGCUUUUGCGGUGUGGGAUGGGCCCGCGGCCUAUCAGCUUGUUGGUGGGGUGAUGGCCUACCAAGGCGACGACGGGUAGCCGGCCUGAGAGGGUGACCGGCCACACUGGGACUGAGAUACGGCACAGACUCCUACGGGAGGCAGCAGUGGGGAAUAUUGCACAAUGGGCGCAAGCCUGAUGCAGCGACGCCGCGUGAGGGAUGACGGCCUUCGGGUUGUAAACCUCUUUCAGCACCGACGAAGCGCAAGUGACGGUAGGUGCAGAAGAAGGACCGGCCAACUACGUGCCAGCAGCCGCAGUAA
rnacentral:rRNA from 1 species